UACGUAGGCAGCAAGCGUUGUUCGGAGUUACUGGGCGUAAAGGGUGUGUAGGCGGUUUCUUAAGUUUGGUGUGAAAUCUCCCGGCUAACUGGGAGGGUGCGCCGAAUACUGAGAGGCUCGAGUGCGGGAGAGGAGAGUGGAAUUCCUGGUGUAGCGGUGAAAUGCGUAGAUAUCAGGAGGAACACCGGUGGUGUAGACGGCUCUCUGGACCGUAACUGACGCUGAGACACGAAAGCGUGGGUAGCAAA
rnacentral:rRNA from 1 species